AGUUUUGAUCCUGGCUCAGGACGAACGCUGGCGGCGUGCCUAAUACAUGCAAGUUGAACGCUGAAGACUGGUACUUGUACUAGUUGGAUGAGUAGCGAACGGGUGAGUAACGCGUGGGUAACCUACCUCUUAGCGGGGGACAACUAUUGGAAACGAUAGCUAAUACCGCAUAACAAUCACUAACACAUGUUAGUGAUUUGAAAGCACCAAUUGGUGCACUAAGAGAUGGACCCGCGUUGUAUUAGCUAGUUGGUAGUGUAAUGGACUACCAAGGCGAUGAUACAUAGCCGACCUGAGAGGGUGAUCGGCCACAUUGGGACUGAGACACGGCCCAAACUCCUACGGGAGGCAGCA
rnacentral:rRNA from 1 species